UACGUAGGGGGCAAGCGUUGUCCGGAAUCAUUGGGCGUAAAGCGCGUGUAGGCGGCCAGGUAAGUCCGUUCUGAAAGCCCGGGGCUCAACCCCGGGAGGCGGAUGGAUACUGCUUGGCUCGAGUCCGGAAGAGGCGAGUGGAAUUCCCGGUGUAGCGGUGAAAAUGCGCAGAUAUCGGGAGGAACACCAAUGGCGAAGGCAGCUCGCUGGGACGGUACUGACGCUGAGACGCGAAAGCGUGGGGAGCAACAGG
rnacentral:rRNA from 1 species